rnacentral:rRNA from 1 species
UACGAACUGUGCAACCGUUAUUCGGAAUCACUGGGCUUACAGGGUGCGUAGGCGGCUUGCUAAGUAGGGUGUGAAAGCCCCCGGCUUAACCGGGGAAUGGCGCCCUAAACUGGCGAGCUGGAGUGAGAUAGGGGUGUGCGGAACUUCCGGUGGAGCGGUGAAAUGUGUUGAUAUCGGAAGGAACGCCGGUGGCGAAAGCGGCACACUGGAUCUCAACUGACGCUGAGGCACGAAAGCCAGGGGAGCGAACGGG